GGAAAUGUUAUUGUUACCCUACAGACUCAAGCUGAGUGGAGACACACACUGAACAGAUGACAUGCCAGCCAAACUUGCCCCAAAAGUUGGGGAGGGAAAUGGUGCUCAACUGAAGGCAGCUGCUCUUGGGAGAGUCUUGACAGAGACCUCUGCAGCGAUAGUGCCUGGCAUCAGUGAUUGACGGGGAGCCAUCUGAUCAACUUUUGUUUCUGAAGGAAAACCCUGAGGAAACUCACUACCAUCCUCAGUGGCUGGUGGAUGGAUAAAGAGGUGGAAAGCAAGUUGUGUGUAGAGUGAGCAGAAACUAUGAAGAGCCAUGAGCAGUUCCGGGGGAGCAGCUGCGAGCAUCAUGGAAGGCCUCUGCCCUGUCGGAGAAGCCGGGAUCCUCUUCAGCUUGGACACUACAUCAGUGACACUGGCAUCUCCCCCAUGCCAGGUGUCCAGAUUAAUCAGGAGACCAUUGUAGAUGAGGCAUCGCUCUAGGACCUGGUACCUGCUUGUGCUUUGUCCAGAACUGAGCUCAGAACUUGCCCAGUUCUACCACAUGUCUGAAAACUUCUUCCUUCCUGUCCACAUCAUUCCGUAGUUGUCUCUGAGAUAUGUCUAUUUACAAGAAGAUACUCUGAAAAGGGCCAAGUCAGAAAUGACAUCUUGAUGUAUCCAGCCAGCCAGCAGUCUCAGUAGCCACUAAAAAAUUAGGUCAGUAGUUAAAAAUACUUUUACAAAGAAAAGCCCAGGCUUGGAUAGUUUUAUAAGAAUUACACCAAACAUUCAAGGAAUAGUUAAUAGUUCAUUCAAAUCUUAUACAAAUUCUUUCAGAUAAUAAAAAAAGAAAAAGAAAAACUCCUUAGCAAAUAUGUGAGAUAAAUAUAAACACAAUAUGAAAUUCACAUAGAGAUAAUUCGAGACAGGAAAAAUGAUUUACUCAUGAACAUAAAUGCAAAAAUCCUUUAAAAAUAUUGGCAAACUGAAUCCAAGAAUAUGUGAAAAAUAUAACACACCAUGAUAAAUUUGCAUCAUCCUAUAAAUGCAAAAUAUAUUUUGUAUUAAAAAAUCUAGUUUAGUUCAUGAAAUUAACAAAUUAAAUAAUUAUUUCAAUACUAUUAGAUAAACUUUAAACAUAUGUGGUCUCCUAGCUCUCCAAAGACCUCAUACUAAAAUAAUAGUUCUUCUUAAUAGAAGGAGCAAGGAAUUAUUGUUCCCAAAUGUUUUUACACACCUCCCCGCUAUGAGAGAAGUGUACUUCCUGGUUGGCUGACAUCCAGCCUGGGCCAUGUGACUUGCUCUGCCAGGAGUAGCAGGAAAGCAGAAAUGAUGUCUAUUAAGUCUUGAAAGAGGCUUUAAGAGCUAAUACACUCUUCUCCCACAUCCCCUCCUCAAGGGUCUCACUCCUAAAUAAAUGUUACUUUUUCAACUUCCAUCCCAGAAUAAAAAAGCAUGUGGAGCAGAAAUGGAACAGAGUAGAGGCCAGCUCAGUUUCCAUGUUAUAAAACCAAAUAGACAUCUUUGUUGCAGUAAGCCCCCAUGAUCUGGAUGUUGUUUGCUAUCACAAUAUAACUUACUCUGUGAUGAUUGCUAUUUUAAAAAGAGUACCUACCAAAAAUUUGUAGCGCAAACCAUACUUACUAAUAAAAAAUUAACCUUACUCCCUUUAAAAUAAAAAACAACAGUGAUGCCUUUGAUUCAACAUUGUGCAGUAAGAUAAGGAAAAAUAAAAUGUAGGAAUUAUAAAAGGAAAUACUAAGCUUUGGUUAUUUGCAGGUAAUAUGAUUGUUUAUAUAGAAACUCCUCAAGAAUAUGGACAUAAUUUAACAAAACAGAGCACCUAAAAUACCAACAAAAUCAUAAUACAUCCAGGAAUAAAUCUAACAAAAUUUGUGCAAGACUUCUUUGAAAUUAUAUAUGUUAUUAAAAUACAUUAAAGUAAACGUAAAUAAAUGCAUAUAUUAUUUAUCUAUUUAUUUAUUUAUUAUUAUUAUUUUUUUUUGAGAUGAGGUCUCACUAUGUUGCCCAGGUUGGUCUCGAACUCCUGGGCUCAAGUGAUCUGUUCACCUUGGCCUCCCAAAAUGCUGGGAUUACAAGCAUGAGCCACCACACCUGGCCUUAUAUUUAUUUUGUAUACAUAUAAUAUUUGUGAUAGAAGGACACAAUAUAUUAAAAGUUUGGUCAUUCUCUUCAAAUUGCUCUAUAAAUAAAAUGCAAUUCCUUUCAAAUUCAAUCCAGAGCUGUUUGCAGAACUUGAUAAGCAGAUUCUAAAAUUUUUAUGGAAAAAUGAAGCACAAGAAUAGCUGAAACACCCCUGUAGAGGAUGAACAGGAUGAGGCGAGCUGUUUUGCCAGUUUUCAUUGCCCUGUGUAUAUAAUAAAGCUUUGAUUAAUUAAGAGAGCAUAAUAUGGCACAGGAACAUAGGAUAGACCAGUGGAUCAGCACAGAGCGUGUAGAAACAAGCCCACACAUAAAAUGAAAUCUAGUAUAUAACUGGAAUGUCACUGCGGAUCAGUAAGAAUGGGUUGCUCAAUAAAUGAUGCUAUGAUCAUUUGUUUUCUAUAUGGACAACAACAACACAAAAAAGAAUACACAAAAAUAAAUAAAAGGGAAAAAGAUUUAGAUAUGGAAACCACAAACUUAAGACUUUGGGGAAAAAUAUAGAAUAUUUCUAUGAUCUUGGAGCAGGAAAAAAAUGAUGAAAACAAGACCCGAAAAGCACAAAUAUAAAUGAAAAGAUAAGAAAGUUAACUGAGUUAAAAUUAAUAACACUUCUUAAUCAAAAGAUUCCUAAAUGCAAAGAUAAGCAAAAAGGAAAAGUCUGCCUCCCCCAAAAGCAGUGGUAAAACAUAGGAAUAAACACUUCACAGAAGAGUCAGCCCAAAUAGCUAUUAAAUAAAUGAAAAAUGUUCAACCUUUUAAAUAAUGAAGAUGUUGCAAGAUAAAACCACAAUAAGUUAAAGUUUUAUACUAAAAUGUUGGUAAGGAUGGAGAUCACUGCAAAACAAACUGUAUAUAUAUAUAUAUAUAUAUAUAUAUAUAUAUAUAUAUAUAUAUAUAUAUAUAUGCUAUGUAGCUUUCUACAACCACUCUGUAUAACAAUUUGGUCAUAGUAAAGUAAAAAUAUGCAUAUCCUAUGACCAGGAAAUCUCACACACACACACACACAAAAUGCACAUGCUUAUGUGUACACACAAUCCCUAAAAAUACCCUUGAACAGGGGCACCCAGAGAUAUGUACAAGUAUAUUCAUAGAACCAUUAUGUGUGCUUAGCUACUAUUACAACCAUUAACACGGUUGAAGCCCGCAAACAAAAAAUUAAUGAAAAAGCAAGAUGCAGGAUACACAUACUAUGGUUUAUAUAAAGAUCAAAAAAUAACAAAAGUAUACUGCAUAUGGUUGAGAAUAGCCAGGGCUGACUAUAUAAUUUUUAGGCUCAGGGCAAAAUGAAAAUGUGGGAUCCCUUUGUUCCAAAAGCAGGGGAAAAGCUUUUAUCUUUCUUUCAUGGUCUAUCUCUGUAGGAUAAUGGCCAUAGUAUCUUGAUAAUUCAUAGAAAAAAAAACUAUAUUAACUCUAAACAUUUGAAAAAGCACUCAACUUACAAAAUACACAAAGAAACCAUUUUUAACCCAUUGGAUUGACAAAUAGAAAAAAUUGAUAACACACUCUCUUACCAAGACACUCUCAAAUAGUGCUAAUGGAGAAAUGAAAGGACACAGCCAUUUUCAAUAAUAAUUUGUCAAUAUCUUUCAAAAUUUCACAUCAAAUACUCUUUGAUUCUAUGGGAACUUCUCCUAUAUGUUUGAAAUUAUACAUGUAAAAGGAUGUUAAUUGCAGCAUUUUAUAAUUCCAAAAGAUUGGAAAUACCCUAACUAGCCUAAAGCAAGAGAGAGGUCAUAUCUGGGUCUUUGGAAGGAUAAUGGAAUGAUAUGUUAUGCAACCAUUAAAAUAUUGAGGUAGGUCUGUCUGUGCUAAUAAAUGAUCAC
rnacentral:lncRNA from 1 species